rnacentral:rRNA from 1 species
CCUACGGGCGGCAGCAGUGAGGAAUAUUGGUCAAUGGCCGGAAGGCUGAACCAGCCAUGCCGCGUGAAGGUCAGUGCCCUAUGGGCGUUAAACUUCUUUUGUGCGGGAGCAAUAAUGGUCACGUGUGGCCAGACGAGAGUACCGUACGAAUAAGCAUCGGCUAACUCCGUGCCAGCAGCCGCGGUAAUACGGGGGAUGCAAGCGUUAUCCGGCUUUAUUGGGUUUAAAGGGUGCGUAGGCUGUGAGGUAAGUCAGCGGUGAAAUGCCCCCGCUCAACGGGGUGAAGUGCCAUUGAUACUGCCUUGCUGGAGUGCGGAUGCGGUGGGAGGAAUGUGUGGUGUAGCGGUGAAAUGCAUAGAUAUCACACAGAACACCGAUUGCGAAGGCAGCUCACGAAUCCGCGAUUGACGCUGAUGCACGAAAGCGUGGGUAUCAAACAGGAUUAGAUACCCUGGUAGUC